rfam:Strongylocentrotus purpuratus Contig112722_fixed, whole genome shotgun sequence.
GAGCUAUGAUGAAUUUUAUUCCAAUCAUUCGCAGUUUCCACCAUAAAGACUUCUUAGUCUUAAUGAUGGCUGAAGAUCCUUCCUUGGAUGUCUGAGCUC